AAGUCGUAACAAGGUUUCCGUAGGUGAACCUGCGGAAGGAUCAUUAAAAAAUCGUUCUGGGCUGUUGGCCUAGUUUGAGCCGCAAGGCUCUUAAAUUUUGUGCACCGGUCUAUGGGGCUGUGCGGGCUAGGGUUGGCAGAUGGGCGCAUAAUGUAUAUAUGUGCGCGUCUGCUUCUUGCCGAUGGCAAGGCCCGUGCCUGUGCUGCUCUGUGGUUUUCAAAACAGUUGACUCUGAUUUUCUGUAUAAUAUUCAUUAAUAUUUUACAACUUUCAACAGUGGAUCUCUCGGCUCUU
rnacentral:misc_RNA from 1 species